GACGAACGCUGGCGGCGUGCUUAACACAUGCAAGUCGAACGGAAAGGCCCUGCUCUUGUUUGGUGCUCGAUUGGCGAACGGGUGAGUAACACGUGAGUAACCUGCCCUUGACUUUGUGAUAACUUCACGAAACUCGGGCUCAUACCGCAUAUGAGCUUCUGCUGCAUGGUGGGGGUUGGAAAGAGUCGGCGGUUGGGGAUGUACUGGCGGCUUAUCAGCUUGUUGGGCGAGUAGUGGCUUACCAAGGCUUCGACGGGUAGCCGGCCUGGGAGGUGGACCGGGGUCAUUGGGCCUGCGAGAGGGAGCAGACGCCUACGGGCGGCAGCGGUGGAGAGUCUGGCACAAUGGGGGGGCGCGUGAGGCAGAAGCGCCGCGUGCGGGAUGACGGCUUUCGGGUUGUAAACAGAUUUCGACUGUGACGAAGCGUGAGUGACGGUAAUGGGUAAAAAAGCACCGGCUAACUACGUG
rnacentral:rRNA from 1 species